AGGAAAACCAGUGGCAUGUAUUAAUACAUAUUCAGGUACAAGGAAAAUGAGUAGGUCUGGACUGUAUGGGUUUGAAAGCAAAGGGGAGAUUUUGCUAGCUGAAGACAUAUCUAGAAGAGCCUGCAGGAGCCAGACAUGCCUGAAUAAGUCCUCAGAAGAUUCCAGCCCUGCGUUCCUGAUUCCACCUGCAUGAGAGAACUGCCCGCAAAACCCGGCAUAGUCCUGGGCUCAUUUCAGUCCCUCAGUGAAUAUUUAUUGAUCGUUUUGAGUCAUUUGCUACUGCAAAGAGGUGCUAUAGAUUCAACUGUGUACCUCCGAAAUCCAUGUGUUGAAACCCUGCACCUCAAUA